CUUAAGACGAAAUAAAAAUGGCUCUAAGUGCCCUUUUUCUGUGUCCUGUUUUAGAAGGCUUGGGUUAUGCUGAUGACUGAACUCUGCCUUCGGCUGGCUGAACAUGGCUGAACAUGCUCUUUCUGCUGAGCUACACCCCAGCACCGGCUCAUCUUUCAUGGCUCUCCGUGAAUCAGCUGUUGAGAGCUCAUGUAAGGCACAGACCUACUGAGAUGGCUGACGAGUACGGAACUACAGCACAUCCUGUGUCCUGCUUCUUAUACGUACGCUCUAGGCACUGUGCUCAGGUCCUCAAGCUUGCAGAGCAAGCACUUUGCUGACUGGGCCACCUCCCCACCCCCUACCCCCAAAACUCAUUAAUUAAGGAAUUUUUCUUCCCUUGAUUUCAAGUAAUUCAAUUUUCCAUUAAGAGAUCGCUCACUCCAUGACAUAUUUUCUUACAUACUGCUCUCUGUGCUACUAGGAUAGCCACUCCAGGAGGACAGGAGAUUUUUGUGAGCGACUGUGUGUGGCACUCACUAGGAUAGCCAUACGAUAAUACUUAGGCCACUCUGUCUAAAACAUUUCCAUGGCCCUCAUUGCUCUUAGAUCAAACCCAUGAUUCUUCCUCUUCCCCUUCUUCCUCAUCUUCCCUCUCUCCCUUCUUCCUUCUCUUGACGGACGGGGCUUGCAAGGCCAGAGGACCAGUGCAGAGCACUGAACAAUGCCAGAAUCCAGGAAAGAACUCACUCAGGAUUGUUCUCUUGUGUAUUCUGACCUCCACGGGAUCCAGAUCAAAAGAGCCAAUUUACCGAUUUGUAUUCCAUCUGUCCUUCCUCCUGGACCUGUUUCUCAUUUGGUUGUAGUGAAAAGAUGAAAUUCUAAGACCCUGUAAUUCUUCAGUUCAACAGUCCAUGCAACCUAUUACUGAAACCAUCCCUAGAAGCUCAACAAUCUAAGCUGGUAUAUAUUUGAUUUGGGGGAAAAAAGAUAUUUAUAUGUGAACUAGCAUGAAGUAUGCAUUUAGUCUGAAAUUGAGUUCCUCAACUAUUUGCUAAAAAUAGCAAAGGACUUUCUGGUGAUACAGGAAGGGUUACUGUAAUGGUUCCAAAGACUGUCAGCUGACAUCCUCGAUAUCAUGAAUAUUACCACCGAGAGACUGUGCUGGGUAAAAUACAUUUGUAUAUGGUUCAUUUUACUCAUCAGCAACCAACCUUGAGAUAAUUAAUCUUAGUAGCAGCUGCCACUCCCCCUUCCAUUUUCUCUCCUCCUCCUCUUCCUCUUCCCCUCCUCUUUCUCCUUUCCCUCCUCCUCCUUCCCCUCCUCCUCUUUAUCCCCCUUCCCCCUUCCUCCUCC
rnacentral:lncRNA from 1 species